rnacentral:rRNA from 1 species
CCGAGUUUACAACUCCCAAACCCCAAUGUGAACGUUACCAAACUGUUGCCUCGGCGGGAUUUCUGCCCCGGGCGCGUCGCAGCCCCGGACCAAGGCGCCCGCCGGAGGACCAAUUUACAAACUCUUUUGUAUAUCCCAUCGCGGAUUCUUUACAUUCUGAGCUUUCUCGGCGCUCCUAGCGAGCGUUUCGAAAAUGAAUCAAAACUUUCAACAACGGAUCUCUUGGUUCUGGCAUCGAUGAAGAACGCAGCGAAAUGCGAUAAGUAAUGUGAAUUGCAGAAUUCAGUGAAUCAUCGAAUCUUUGAACGCACAUUGCGCCCGCCAGUAUUCUGGCGGGCAUGCCUGUCCGAGCGUCAUUUCAACCCUCGAACCCCUCCGGGGGGUCGGCGUUGGGGAUCGGCACUUACCUGCCGGCCCCGAAAUACAGUGGCGGUCUCGCCGCAGCCUCUCCUGCGCAGUAGUUUGCACACUCGCACCGGGAGCGCGGCGCGUCCACGGCCGUAAAACAACCCAAACUUCUGAAAUGUUGACCUCGGAUCAGGUAGGAAUACCCGCUGAACUUAAGCAUAUCAAA